AUAAUAGAUGAACACAUGAAUCCCAAAAUUUUAGAUUUUGGUUUGGCAAAACUAUUUGGUGAAAGCCAGACACAAGGCAACACAAAUCGGAUUGCUGGGACAUACGGGUACAUGGCACCGGAGUAUGCUAAGCAUGGACACUUUUCAACCAAAUCCGAUGUCUAUAGUUAUGGCAUUCUAAUUUUGGAAAUUCGUAGCUGGUCAAAAGAAUUCAAGUUUCCAGAAUACAUUAAAUCUUCCAAGUUAUGCAUGGCAACAAUGGACCAAUGGAACUGCUACUGAGCUGUUGGAUCCGGUGCUGGGUGAUCAAUGGCCAAGAUGUGAAGUAUUAAAAUGCAUCCACAUUGGAUUAUUAUGUGUUCAAGAAGCUGCUGCUGAUAGACCUACUAAGACUGAGAUUGUGACGAUGUUUAGUAGUUACACUAUAACCUCACCAGUACCCUCCAGACCAGCAUUUUUUAUUUCUAGGGGAAGUUCUGAAUCAGAUAUGGGGAUGGAGGAUUGUAGACCAUCUCAAUCAAAGAGAUCAAAUCCUGACUCAUCUCAACAAUCUGUCAAUGAGGUGACAAUAACUGAUUUAGAUCCUCGAUAGCAUCGGUCGGGUAAUUGAACUGAUAAUGGAGCAUCGAAAUUUGAUAACACUUAUGAAUGCUUGAUCUUGUUGUAUGAACAUCAUAAGUUGACCUUUUGGGUUGGUACUUCGUUGUUUUAUAGCCAGCUGGGCAUGGUCUGUUCUGUGAAUUGAGUUUUACUUUUCAAAUUCUGAACUUGAUAUAAAGGAUUGAUCAAGCCACCUUAUACCAAAAUGCCAAUCCAUUAAAGAAGUAAUUCAGAAUUUUGUUAUUCAGAUCACUGGAUUUGACUCAUUCAAAAUUUACAAAUGCGUGGGAUGCAUAGAUCGCUAUUUCAAAAAUUAU